AUUGAACGCUGGCGGCAGGCCUAACACAUGCAAGUCGAACGAGUGGCAGACGGGUGAGUAAUGUCUGGGAAACUGCCUGAUGGAGGGGGAUAACUACUGGAAACGGUAGCUAAUACCGCAUACCAUCAGAUGUACCCAUAUGGGAUUAGCUUGUUGGUGGGGUAACGGCUCACCAAGGCGACGAUCCCUAGCUGGUCUGAGAGGAUGAUCAGCCACACUGGAACUGAGAAACGGCCCAGACUCCUACGGGAGGCAGCAGUGGGGAAUAUUGCACAAUGGGCGCAAGCCUGAUGCAGCCAUGCCGCGUGUAUGAAGAAGGCCUUCGGGUUGUAAAGUACUUUCAGUGGGGAGGCGUUACCCACAGAAGAAGCACCGGCUAACUACGUGCCAGCAGCCGCGGUAAUAC
rnacentral:rRNA from 1 species